GACGAACGCUGGCGGCGCGCUUAACACAUGCAAGUCGAACGGAAAGGCCUGCUUUCCCUUGUGGAUUGCGGGUACUCGAGUGGCGAACGGGUGAGUAACACGUGAGUGAUCUGCCCCCAACUUGGGUAUAAGCCUGGGAAACUGGGUCUAAUUCCCGAUAGGACUGCAGGGUGGUGCCUGUGGUGGAAAACGAUUUUCUAGUGGUUAGGGAUGAGCUCGCGGCCUAUCAGCUUGUUGGUGGGGUAAUGGCCUACCAAGGCGGCGACGGGUAGCCGGCCUGAGAGGGUGGACGGCCACAUUGGGACUGAGAUACGGCCCAGACUCCUACGGGAGGCAGCAGUGGGGAAUAUUGCACAAUGGGCGGAAGCCUGAUGCAGCGACGCCGCGUGGGGGAUGACGGCCUUCGGGUUGUAAACUCCUUUCGACCGCGAGGAAGCCACCUGGUUGGAAGGGUGGUGACGGUAGUGGUAGAAGAAGCACCGGCUAACUACGUG
rnacentral:rRNA from 1 species